CAGAAAGGAAUAGAUGAAAAUUGGGAGGCGGCAAUAGAGCACAACCCUGAAGCGUUUGCACGUGUUGUCAUGUUAUAUGUGGAUAUGGAAGUCAAC